AACGAACGCUGGCGGCAUGCCUAACACAUGCAAGUCGAACGAACCCUUCGGGGUUAGUGGCGCACGGGUGCGUAACGCGUGGGAAUCUGCCCUUUGCUUCGGAAUAACAGUUAGAAAUGACUGCUAAUACCGGAUGAUGUCUUCGGACCAAAGAUUUAUCGGCAAGGGAUGAGCCCGCGUAGGAUUAGGUAGUUGGUGGGGUAAAGGCCUACCAAGCCGACGAUCCUUAGCUGGUCUGAGAGGAUGAUCAGCCACACUGGGACUGAGACACGGCCCAGACUCCUACGGGAGGCAGCAGUGGGGAAUAUUGGACAAUGGGCGCAAGCCUGAUCCAGCAAUGCCGCGUGAGUGAUGAAGGCCUUCGGGUCGUAAAGCUCUUUUACCAGGGAUGAUAAUGACAGUACCUGGAGAAUAAGCUCCGGCUAACUCCGUGCCAGCAGCCGCCGCCGUAA
rnacentral:rRNA from 1 species